CUGGUUGAUCCUGCCAGAGGCUACUGCUAUCGGGGUCCGACUAAGCCAUGCGAGUUGAGAGGGGUAAGCCCUCGGCAUAUUGCUCAGUAACACGCGGAUAACCUGCCCUUGGGUUCGGGAUAACCCCGGGAAACUGGGACUAAUACCGGAUAGAUCAAAGAAACUGGAAUGUUCUCUGGUUAAAAACUCCGGUGCCCAAGGAUGGGUCUGCGGCCUAUCAGGUAGUAGUGGGUGUAACGUACCUACUAGCCUACGACGGGUAAGGGUUGUGAGAGCAAGAGCCCUGAGAUGGAUUCUGAGACAUGAAUCCAGGCCCUACGGGGUGCAGCAGGCGCGAAAACUUUACACUGCGGGAAACCGCGAUAAGGGGACCCCGAGUGCCAGCACCUAGUGCUGGCUGUCCAGCUGUCCAAAUAACAGUUGUUAGCAAGGGCCGGGCAAGACCGGUGCCAGCCGCCGCGGUAACACCGGCGGCCCGAGUGGUAACCGUUAUUAUUGGGUCUAAAGGGUCUGUAGCCGGCCGGAUAAGUCUCUUGGGAAAUCUGGCAGCUUAACUGUCAGGCUUUCAGGAGAUACUGUCUGGCUCGAGGCCGGGAGAGGUGAGAGGUACUUCAGGGGUAGGGGUGAAAUCUUGUAAUCCUUAAAGGACCACCAGUGGCGAAGGCGUCUCACCAGAACGGACCUGACGGCAAGGGACGAAAGCUAGGGGCACGAACCGGAUUAGAUACCCGGGUAGUCCUAGCCGUAAACGAUACUCGCUAGGUGUCGGCCACGGUGCGACCGUUGUCGGUGCCGUAGGGAAGCCGUGAAGCGAGCCACCUGGGAAGUACGGUCGCAAGGCUGAAACUUAAAGGAAUUGGCGGGGGAGCACCACAACGGGUGGAGCUUGCGGUUUAAUUGGAUUCAACGCCGGG
rnacentral:rRNA from 1 species